CGCGCUAUCGGAAAGCCCGCCCCCUAACGGCGCACGUAAAGGCGGAAGCGGUCGGGUAGCCGCCAUCUUGGGAAGGUCGCGAAAAUUCCGCCUACCUCCUCAAAGCAGGGUUUGCAACUUCAGCGACUGGAAUCGUCUGCGAAGACAGGCAGAGAGUGAAGCCCAGAGAUUCUGAUUUAAUUGGUCUGGGGUAUGUCCUACGCAUCGAGACUUUUAAAUUCCGCAGAAAAAUCCAUCUGACUGAAAGGUGGAGGAUGGAUUAGAUGGGUCCAGAUGGGAGGCAGAAACACCUGUUGGGAGGCUUCUGUGAACAGGUAAGUGGGAGAUGACGGUUGCCUGUGGUGAGUGGCAGCGGGGCACCAGCCCGACACAAAGGCUUUGGAGGCAGGCCUGCCUGUCUGCAGAGCCAAAGGGCUUGAGUUUCAGUUCUCCCACUACUGAAUAAGGUGAGACUUUGGGCAAGUUACUCAAUCUCUACCAGCCUCAGUCUUGUCAUCUAUAAAAUGGAGAUAAGAUUGGAUGGAAUGUGUCCAAAGUGCAUACCCACUCAGAAAGCACCCGCUAAUCUUAGCUAUGAUCAUUAUUAGGUAUGAGCAGUAGAGAUGGAAGAAGUAAUUCAAGAGAUAUUGAAGAAGUGGAAUGUGAGGGUUGAGGACAGGGACAAGCCAAAGAUGACCCUCAGGCUUUGGGCUAACCUCCUAUGUGCACAUGAUGCUAACACUUAGCUUAGAGAGGCCCAGAGGAAGACAGGCCAGGACUAAAUGAGCCCGAGGAGCCUGGUGAGGGAGCAAAGAGAGGUCAGGUAGACCACUACAUAUCUGGGUCUGGAACUUAAAAGAGUGAUCCUAGCAAUGUGGGACUCCUAAACUGUGGAGUAAGAUGGCCCCUGACAACCCAGGACUCCUUGUAUCCAUGGAAUCUGGGCCGGCCUGUGGCAGCCUUUAAUGCAGCGGAAGUCAGCUGCACCAGGUCCAGGGCUAAGCUUUAAGAAGACCUGGCAGCUUCCACUCUUGCUUUGGGGACCCCUAAGGUCUCAUGUGGGAAAUCAGCCUCUCUGCUGUGGACAUCAUCUGGAGAGAGAAGCUUGGGCAUGGAGAAAGGGAGGUCCAGCCAUCCCAGCAUUCCAGCUGUUGCCCCUGGAGUGGGAGACAAGCAAGCCAGCCAUCAUGGACAUUCCAGCUCCAGUUACCUUCUGACUGUGGCCACAAGAGACACCCCCAACUAAGACAGCAGAGCUGUCCAGAGUUACACCUAUUGACCUGGGUGAAUCUCACAAGCAUAACCUUGAGGAGGGAAGGUUGCUGAACACUAUACCUAGGAGGACAGUAUUUAUAUAAAGUUUUAAAACAUGCAAAUAUUAAAAAACUCUUAAAACUCAGUAAUAAAAAGACAAAUAACCCAAUUAACCAAUGGUUAAAGGAUCUUGGAGUGGAUUGAAUGGUGUCCCCCCCAAAAUUCAUGUUCACCUGGAACCUCAGAAUUUGGCCUUAUUUGGAAAUAAGGUCUUUGCAGAUAAAAUUAGUUAAAUUGAAGCCAGGUGGGUCAAGAUGAAAUGAAGUAGAUUAGGGUGGGCCCUAAAUCCAGUGACAGAUGUCCGUACAAGAAGAGGAGAGGCCUCAGACAUACACAGGGGAGAACUCCAGGUGAAGACAGAGGCAGAUUGGAGCUAUGUGUCUACAAGUCAAGCACACAAAGUUCACAUAACAGGAAACCGUUUUAACCACUUGAAAGUGUACAGUUGAGCAGGUUUUAUAUAUUCUCAGUAUUGUGCAACCAUCACCGCUAUCUAAUUCCAGCACUUUUUCAUCACCCCAAAAAGAAAACUUGGGGGACGGGGGAAAAAAAAAAAAAAAAGAAAACUUGUACCCAUUAAUAGCCUCUCCCAAUUCUGCCUUCCUCCUGUCUCCUGGCAACCCCUAAUCCACUCUCUGUCUAUAGAUUUGACAUUUCAUACAAUAUGUGAGCUUUUGUGUCUGGCUUCUUCUACUUAGUGUAGUGUUUUCAAGGUGCAUCCACAUUGUAGCCUGUAUCCGUGCUUCAUUCCUUUUUAUCACUAAAUAAUACUUCAUUUUAUGGAUAUACCACAUUUUAGUUUAUCCACACAUCAAUUAAUGGAUACUGAGUUGUUUCCACUUUUUGGCUAUCACAAAUAAUGCUGCUCUGAACACUCUUGUAUGAUUUCUUUUUUGAGGUGAUGAACAUGUUCUAAAGUCAAUUGUGGCAAUAGUCACGCGACUUCGUGGUUAUGCUAAAAGCCAUUGAACUGUACACUUUAAAUAGUGCAUGUAAAUAUCUCAAUAAAAUUGUUACUCCCCAGAAUGCAAAAAAAAUAUAUUGUUCUGAGAUGUACACAUACACAGUAAAUAUUUAUGGAAAUACAGGGAAACAUACCACACUUAGGAAAGCGGUUGUCUCUGGGGAGAAAGGAAGGAGACGUGGCUGGGGACAGGCACCGGGGGCCUCAGCUGCAGGGUCAGGUUUUAUUUCCUAAGCUGGAUGGUGGAGACAUGGGUGUUCAUUACAUUAGUCUUUAAACUUUUUGCGUGAUCGAAAAAUUACACAUUUAAACAUAAUUUUUUAGCAGGAAAGAAUGAGAUAAAUAGGAUAUUUGCAAGAUGCAAAAAUCACCACAUACAACAAAGAGAGAAGAAAUAUAUUAUCUUUUUCAUGGAGAGAUCUGGCAAUCCUCCUGGACAAACUCAGCCAUCACUGAUAGGAACCAACCUGACGUUAUUUGCCUCCCAGUACAAUGGUAUUAACAGCAUCACCUAUAAAGUAUUCUUCUCUACGGGUGCCUGGGUGGCUCAGUGG